GGUCUAACUAGCAGGUUUCAGUUCCCCUCAAGGUGACUUAGAUGGUCAAACAGUUGCACAUUUGUUGCGGCAAUCAGUCGUGUGACUGUUGCUGUGGCUUUUGCUAUGGUGGAGAAACCCUGUCUUGCAAACUCCUAGAUACUGGACCCAGGCAGAUGGCCAGCCUGUAGAGAUGCCAGAACAGCCCAGAUCUUCUCUGGGGCACAGGUGACGAGCCCCUUACUAGGAGUGCCCCAGAUCUGUUCCAAACUCUUGAAGCCCUCCAUCCAUUCUGAGCCCUCCACACACAAGGCGUACACUCCUAGGAAUGUGUGGGACCAACAAAUUUUCAGGGUUGUGCUACAGGAGCCUAGCAUUGUUCUGGCUUCUUUCUCACUCCCUGCAGUGGCGUGUGUAAACCUAAACACGCCUCCAAAUUCUAGCCGCAUCCUGUUACACUUUGAAAUUGAAAUAUAAUUUUCUACUUGAAAUAUUCUGCUUUUUCUAGAACUACAGAGAGCAGGGAUGACAGGUCUUUAAGCUCAUCAAAGGGAGAAUCAACAACGCCUGCAAGCAGAGUUUUCGGACAUGAUUGCCAACUCUUUACAGAAAAGACAGGCCUCAGGGAUAAGAAGCCGAAAACCAACUCGGAUAGCCAGCUACAAAAAAGGCACUCUGGAAUACUUGCAACUGGACACGACAGACCAGGAGAGCACCCAUUUUUAAACAUAAAUGAGGUCCAAGGACUCAGGCAAAUGAAGGACAGCUGCACUGAGGCAGUGGCCUCAACUGUCCUAAAAGCAUCGUUUCCCUGAGACCUCGGGGGACCAGAGGAAGACGUAGAUGCAUUGCACUUAGCCUUGGCUGCCCUGCCUGGAACAGAGACUCGCUCCUGUGAAUCAGAUGUGCACACUCAGUGCGAUAAUUCCCUUUCACUCUGGAAUCUGAUCUCAACGGUUGCUCCAGGGAGCUUCAACCCAGGAAAGAAGAGGAAAGAACGUACCAUGUCGAAGUUGAAGAGAUUUUGUCCUUAUUUGUUUUGUUUUUGUUUUGUUGUGUUUACUGGCUCUUUUUCAUUCUGUAUUCAUGAUAAGAUUUUUUAAAAUUGUCACAAUUGUAUUUUAAGUAGCUUAUCUCCAUUAAAUUAUAUUUAACUCAUAAUUUUUGCAGAAAAUAUGCUAUAUAUUAGGCAGAAAUAAAAGUUAGAGGUUUACUGAGUGUGUGUAUGUGUUUUCACCUAUUCCACCCAUUUUCCUGGAAUGCACCAGCCAUCAUUUUGUGCUCGCUGAAAAUCUGAUUAAAUUUCCCCAUACUGAAGCAAGGCAAAGCUAGCACUGUCACUCAGGGGUAGAACCUUCUGUAUUGCACGAGGGAAUUUUGUGUCUAGCCUUCUCCUGUGAGAGGCAGGGCCUGCAGCUGUCUUGGGUCUGGGAGAAAGUCAAAUUCUGUUUACCUGUAAGACACAGUACUUCAAACUCUUCAAAUAUCUCCUCCUGCCAUCCAGCAGCCAUCUCCUGCCCCUUCUUAGAUCAUCCCAGCAUGACUCAUUUGCUUGAAGUCUCUAGGAAAAUGACAAGUCAACUGGUGGUGAGUAGACUAGAAUCAACAAAGGCAAGAAUACACAUAUAGCACUUCUGACAUUAACCUUCCAAACUAGACCAACUGCCCCAAACACAUUGCUCCUCUCCAAGGCCACUGCCGUGAAAACCCCUCCAGAGAUUAAGAAACAUAUUGUGUCUUCUCCAUCACCUGGAAAACCAGAAAAUCAAAAAGUAGUAAAGUAUGUCCUGAUUUAUAGAUUGAGCACUUAACAUGCAGCAAGAGUCCUUACUUGGAAUCUGAAGGUUUAUAAUCUGUCUCUGCCUCGACGUCCAGCACAAGGAGACUUUCUGCAUGGGGAUGAGAUGGUGACAUGAACGUUCUUGGUCGUUCAUUCAGUAAACAUACAUUGAGCAUCUCCUCUUAUUCCAGGAACUGGAUUUGGUGUUUGAGGUAUAGAAACAUGGUCUCUGUCAAGUUUUGAAUCUUAUAGGAGAGAAAUGUAAAACGGUAAGUGGGUUUGGGAACCAGCAGCAUUCUUGACAACAUGCAAACAUAGCAACUCCAACACUGACUAGAAAAACUCAAAAUCAUCUUUAAUGUUAAUGGGGCAUUGAUGAAACAACUUCUCAAUUGAAGGCUCCAGGAUUUGUCUUCAAUUACAGAAUCAACAUGAUUGUGAAACAUUUAUUGACCUUUAAAUAGACGUGUGGCCUCAGCUUGCCCACUUAGCAAUGUGGACAUGUGAUCCCAGUGAUAACAGUGACUAAGAAUGAGACCCAGGCGAGGGUCAAAUUCCGGCACUGCUGUUUCCUAGCUAUAAAUUAGUUAAUGUCUCCAAGCCUCUGGUGUUUCAUCAGUAAAUCAUGAGUCACAAUAUCCACGUCAAAGAGUUGUUACAAAGAUUUUUUUUUAAAAGAAAUUUUUCAAGCACCAAGCAGAGUGUCAGUUACGCAGAAGUUCUCAACAAAUAUCCUCUAACCUUCAACUUUUCCCUUCUCUCUCCACCUGCUUUAUAAAUCAGAACUAAAAGAUUGCAAACCCAGGACUUCCAUGGGCACGAAGGAUACAUAAGAUGGCUUAUUUUUAACAAUUGAUUAUAGAAUUCUUCAAAUGUAAACAAAAGCAGAGGGACUAGCUCAUGAAUCCCCAUAAAGUCAUUACCAGUUUCAAGAAUGAUCAAUAUUUUCCCAACCUUGUUUCAUCUAUCUUCCACCAACCUUGUUUGUUUUGCCAGAUUAUUUUAAAGGAAAUUCCAAAUAUCAUGUCUUUCACCUUUGAAACCUCAACACAUCUUUUUAACACAGGAUUGACAAACUUUUUCUGUAAGGGCUGGAUAGUAAAUAUUUUAGGCUUUCGGAGUCAGGCUGUCUCUGUUGCAACUAUUCACCUCUGCUG
ensembl:lncRNA